rnacentral:lncRNA from 1 species
UCUGCCAGUUUCUCCAGUGUGAGUUUCUACUUGAAAUCCUCCUGUUGCCCUGGCGCGGUGGCUCACGCCUGUAAUCCCAGGACUUUGGGAGCCCAAGGUGGGCGGAUCACAAAGUCAGGAGAUAGAAACCAUCCUGGCUAACACGGUGAAACCCCAUCUCUACCAAAAAAAAAAAAAACAAAAAAAAAUCAGCCGGGUGUGGUGGCAUGUGCCUGUAAUCCCAACUACUUAGGAGGCUGAAGCAGGAGAAUUGCUUAAACUCAGGAGGCGAGGGGGAGGUUGCAGUGAGCCGAGAUCAAGCCACUGCACUCCAGCCUGGGCGACAGAGCGAGACUCCAUCUCAAAAAAAAGAAAAGAAAAAAGAAAUUCUCCUGUCUCAGACCCAGAGUAGCUGGGACUACAGGUCACACCACUGUGCCCGGCUGUCUUCCCAGCCUUUUAUCUGGGCAUUUUAUCCACUUCUUAGAGUUUUCUGGCUCAUAGCUGGUACUCAAUAAAUGCUCAGAGAAGCCUCAUAACUUAGCGGUUACACACAGUUCUGGGUUUGAAACCUGUCUGCAUCUUACUAAUUGUGAGACCUUAGGGGAAUCACUUAACUUCUGUAAAAGGGGCCAGUAUAUUAUGCCCACCUCGUUGGGUUGUUGCAAAUAACAAAUAAUGAUGUGUGAAAGAUUUAACACGGUCCCUAAGAAAAGUAAACGUAGAAUUGCCAUAUGGGCCAGGCAUGGUGGCUCAAGCCUGUAAUCCCAACAUCUUGACAGGCUGAGGUGGGUGGAUUUCUUGGGCCCAGGAGUUCGAGACCAGCCUGGGCAACACAGUGAGACCCCUGCCUCUACAAAAAAUACAAAAAUUAGCCAGGCGUUGUGGCGUGUGCCUGUGGUUCCAGCUACUUGGGAGGCUGCGGUGGGAGGAUGGCUUGAGCCUGGGAGUUGGA